rnacentral:lncRNA from 1 species
UGGGCCAGCCUCAAGCGAAUGGGCCGGGCAGGAUUGGGCUUGACCGAGACAACACAGGUCUGCCCGAGUAUCUGCGUUACGACGUCGUUUUCUCUGCAACCCAAUUUCUUGCUUCCCAGCUCAGUUCGCAUCAUAAAUCGCUGCCUCCAUUCUCACACUCAGUCGUCUCAACCUUCGAUCUCCCCCGAAAACGACGCCGUAGCAAGCAAUGGCCACCUCACUUGCCGCCAUGACGGCUCGCAGAGCUGCAACCCUCGCUCGGCUCNAAAGGCGAGCAUCAAAGACUUGGAUUGGGGUACGAAUUUUAAACCCGGAGGUUGCCUACAGAGGUCAAACAUCUUGUGAAGGCUCUCCAUGCUCAAUCGGGAUUCAGGCAUGGAUUUGGGCGUCCUAGGGGCUUUCUUCUUGCUCUUGGAGGUUUUAGGGGUUUCGGAAGUGGGGAGAGAAGAUCCAGAAGCCGAUGGAGAAGUCCGGGGAGAACUAGGGUUCGAAGGAGGGGGAGAAUCAACCGGGGAGGGUACAGGAGAGGGAGAAGGGGAGGGGAAAAAGUCAGGCUGGGCACCAGGGGCGGAGGAGGAAGCCAUUAUCGGAAAAAAUCUAAAAAAUCCUAGGGUUUUUCACGCUCAAUCAGAGCACCAACAAAUCUCAACACCACUUUAUAACUAAACACAAAUAUCGGGAGAGGAGGAUACGCGAGUUACCUAAGUCAAAGAAAGAUCGACGGUAAAGACUGGAACAGAAGGGUCGCAGGGAGAGGAUCGCUGGAAAUCGCAGAUGAAGGAAUUCGGAAAAACUGAAGAAGAUGAAUAGUGGAAAGUAAAAAUUCGAAUCGACUAAGUAAAGGGUACGUGGGCAACUACCAACAUACGAGAUGAACGACACGUGGCCCUAAAAAAGCAAUCAACGGUCAAGGAUUUCUGCGGGGAGGCGAAAGGACGUGAGGGCUGAAAAAGUUAACCUGGGGAUACGAAAAAGCACUGUAGAAAGGGCAGGCAUUUAAUGCGGGUGACGUCAGCCACGCGAAUGAACACUCUGACUAGGUUGCUUUGUUCCAGAGUAAACUAGUCAGACCCGAGGGAGGGUGUGGUUGAUGAGGAGUAAUAUGUGCAGAGCAGAGAAAUGACGGUACCAGGGGAAUCAUGGGGAGCAGCGAGACGGCUCUCGCCAGAGGAAUCACCCUCGCCAGAGGAAUCACACUCGCCAGAGGAAUGGUUUUUGCCAGAGGAAUCGUUCUCGCCAGAGGAAUCGUUCUCGCCAGCGGAAUCACCGAAAUGCGGGGAAAUCUCCCGCGUAGAGGCGACUUUACCAUUAUGCCCCCGACCACGCAAGACGCAUGCUCCGGUGUUGAUUUUACUGUUUUACCCUCCAUAUGUAAUCUAUAAAUAUUAGCAUACGUGCUCAUAUGUAACUUACGCUAUUUUUCAUACUCAAUACAACAACAGCUCUUCUCUCGUUCUAGCACUCCGAUUACUUCCAUUAUCUUCUCCGAUCAAUCGCAACUAGGUAUAACUCACGACCCAUUCACAAUUCACCGAUUAGUUAGCUACCCACCCGCUCAUGUUUCACCAGAAUAUAACUCGAAAUCAAAUAGAGUUAAUUUGAAAUCGAGUGGGCUAGUCCUAGUCAUAUUUAACAAAGAAAGAAAAUUAUCAUAUGCUCACAAUUCAGAAUUUAUAUUUUAAAAUGCCUUUGUAGUCAAACUUAUAUAGUUAUAUCUCACUAUAUAAUACUCCCUCCGUCCACGAAAUGAGUACCCAUAUUUUCUUUUUCGUCCGUCCACGAAAUGAGUACCAAUUUCUCUUUUUGGCAAGUGCACCCCACACAUCUCUUUAAUUAAUACACUCAAAAAGUGGGACCCUUAAACUAUUCACACUACACUCCAUACAUUUCUUAAAACCCGUGACGUCCACAAAUGGAUACUCAUUUCGUGGACGGAGGGAGUAGAAAGUAAAAACACCACAACAUAUUUUCUUCUAUCCUGGGCCAGCCUCAAGCGAAUGGGCCGGGCAGGAUUGGGCUUGACCGAGACAACACUGGUCUGCCCGAGUAUCUGCGUUACGACGUCGUUUUCUCUGCAACCCAAUUUCUUCCUUCGCUACUCAGUUCGCAUCAUAAAUCGCUGCCUCCAUUCUCACACUCAGUCGUCUCAACCUUCGAUCUCCCCCGAAAACGACGCCGUAGCAAGCAAUGGCCACCUCACUUGCCGCCAUGACGGCUCGCAGAGCUGCAACCCUCGCUAGGCUCUCGCCGUCCACCGCGUCGGCCGCUCGAGCCGCUUCUCUGAUUCCCCGCCGCGGCCUCGCCGGCGCCUCUGGUACUGAUCUGAAGACG